GACGAACGCUGGCGGCGUGCUUAACACAUGCAAGUCGAACGGAAAGACCCUGCUUUUGUGGGGUUCUCGAGAGGCGAACGGGUGAGUAAAACGUGUGUAACCUGUCCCUGACUUUCGGAUAACUCCAGGAAACUCCGGCUAAAAUCCGGUAGGAGCUCCUGCUGCACGGUGGGCGUUGGAGAGUUUCGGCUGUUGGGGCUGUUCUCGCGGCUUAUCAGCUUGUUGGUGGGGUAGUGGCUUACCAAGCCUUUGAAGGGUAGCCGGCCUGUGAGGGUGACCGGCCACAUUGCGACUGAGAUACGGCGCAGACUCAUACGGGAGGCAGCGGUGGGGAAUAUUGCACAAUGGGCGGAAGCCUGAUACGGCAGCGCCGCGUGCGGGAUAACGGCCUUCGGGUUGUGAACAGCUUUAGCCUGUGACGAGGCGUUAAUGACGGUAAUGGGUAAAGAAGCCCCGGCUAACUACGUG
rnacentral:rRNA from 1 species